GAUCAGGACAGCCAGGUGAAACUGAGGAACAGAGAACAGGACAGCCAGGUGAAACUGAGGAACAGAGAACAGGACAGCCAGGUGAAACUGAGGAACAGAGAACAGGACAGCCAGGUGAAACUGAGGAACAGAGAACAGGACAGCC